UGGGGAAUUUUGCACAAUGGGGGAAACCCUGAUGCAGCGACGCCGCGUGAUUUAGAAGGCCUUCGGGUUGUAAAAAUCUUUUCUAUGGGAAGAAAAUGACAGUACCAUAGGAAUAAGGACCGGCUAAUUACGUGCCAGCAGCCGCGGUAAUACGUAAGGUCCGAGCGUUGUCCGGCAUCAUUGGGCGUAAAGGGUACGUAGGCGGGUAAGCAAGUUAGAAGUGAAAUCCUAUAGCUCAACUAUAGUAAGCUUUUAAAACUGCUCAUCUUGAGGUAUGGAAGGGAAAGUGGAAUUCCUAGUGUAGCGGUGAAAUGCGCAGAUAUUGGGAGGAAUACCGGUGGCGAAGGCGACUUUCUGGCCAUAACCUGACGCUGAGGUACGAAAGCGUGGGUAGCAAACAGG
rnacentral:rRNA from 1 species